AUAGUCCACAAUGCCUGGAACGGUUUGUGGAUUAAAGCCCCGGCGGCAUAGGAUGGGCCUGCGGCGUAUCAGGUUGUAGGGGGUGUAACGUACCCUCUAGCCAUCAACGCGUACGGGUGUUGGGAGACAUAGCCCGGAGAUGGAUUCUGAGACACGAAUCCAGACCCUACGGGGUGCAGCAGGCGCGAAAACUUGGCAAUGCGAGAAAUCGUGACCAGGGAACUCCAAGUGGCUGGGGUAAGACCCAGUCUUUUCUUGACUCUUCAAAGGUCUUGGAAUAAGAGGUGGGUAAGGACGGUGCCAGCCGCCGCGGUAAUACCGGCGCCUCAAGUGGUAGUCGAUUUUAUUGGGCCUAAAACGUCCGUAGCCUGUUUGGUACAUUCGUGGGUAAAUCAACCAGCUCAACUGGUUGAAUUCUGCGAGCACGGCCAGACUUGGGACCGGGAGAGGUGUGGGGUACGCUCAGGGUAGGGGUAAAAUCCUGUCAUCCUGAGCGGACCACCUGUUGCGAAGGCGCCACACUAGAACGGAUCCGACGGUCAGGGACGAAGCCUAGGGGCACGAACCGGAUUAGAUACCCGGGUAGUCCUAGGUGUAAACGCUGUGGACUUGGUGUUGGGGAUUCUCCGAGGAUCUUCAGUGCCGAAGCGAAGGUGAUAAGUCCACUGCCUGGGGAGUACGGUCGCAAGGCUGAAACUUAAAGGAAUUGGCGGGGGAGCACCGCAACCUGAGGAUUGUGCGGUUUAAUUGGACUCAACGCCGGAA
rnacentral:rRNA from 1 species